GGAGAGGUGGCAGAGUGGCUGAAUGCACCGGUUUGCUAAACCGGCGUACGGGGUUAAACCCUGUACCGCGGGUUCGAAUCCCGCCCUCUCCG
rnacentral:tRNA from 1 species